GGGCCAGUCAUGGUUUCGACAGGGGUCUUGCAGCUGGAGAAGCUAUCCGCGGGAAGGUGCGUUAAACCGCAAAUCUAAAUAUAAACGCUGAAGAAAAUUUGGCAAUCGCUGCCUAAUGGUAGCUGUCCGCUCUAGGGCACUCACACCUUAGAAUCCGGGCAUCGACUAUGUGAGAAACGACAGUGCUUAAGCUUUGCGGCAUUGGGCGUAUCAUGAAGCUACCGAGUGCGAAUGGGUGUCAGAUUCCCACCGCAGGAGGGAACGAGCCGGGUCAGCCGGCAAGAACUGCUGACUAUGAUAGUAGAAGGACAGGGAAUGGGCUUUUGGACACGGGUUCGACUCCCGUCUGGUCCAUAA
rnacentral:tmRNA from 1 species